CCCAAGGGUAAAGGACAACCAGGCGCAAGUUAAGCACGCUCCUCCGCGGGCGGCCGGUAGCGCCCCCAGCUGGGGGCAGGGCCUCGCGAGGCAGAGGGCAGGGAAGGACCUGGAGCACCUGCUCCAGAAUGGCUUUUUGAAAGAAAUCUCAACUCUUCGUAAAGUCGGGAAUGGCGUGGACACAGGGAGGAGGUGCUUCCGCACAGUAACCGCGCUAACAGAAGGGCAGAGUCUAGCGCCCAAAGUGCCGCGCCUGCCCUGCGUGUCUUAGCUCUGGAACCGAUGGUGGUAUUUUCAGCAUCACUCUUGUGGUCGUCUCCACAAAAUGGGAAAAUGAGAUGGGAAAAUCCGGAUACCCUGUCUACAGCAAGCCCACGGACAACCCUGCUAAGUCUUUACCAAGCAGAUAACCGGCGUGGGCGGUUCCUGAGCAGCAGUGGCGGCCGUGUGUCUCUAACCUUUUCCCUAAGCUGGAUUCCUUCCAUCUGUACAUUUCCAGCACGGAGGGUUGCUCCUGCAGACCGCGGACACUAGCCGUUUAUACUGCGCACACACAUACAUACACAAACACACCCCGGCCCUCCCUCCCAGGGAGUGUUAUGGCCUCUGUUUAUGUGGUUGUUUAGGAACUUUUAAUUUGCACGCACGGCUUGAAAAACAAAGUCGUUCGCCUUCGCGUUGGGAAGGCACGAAAUAAACGAAUACAAAAAUAAACCCA